rnacentral:rRNA from 1 species
CAUUGGUAUGACUGGUCUCGCUGAUCCCUCCCUCUUGACGAACUGUGAUGCCAUUAAUUUGGUGUCGCAGGGAAUCAGGACUGUUACUUUGAAAAAAUUAGAGUCGUUUAAAGCAGGCUCACGCUUGAAUACAUUAGCAUGGAAUAAUGAAAUAGGACGUUUGAUUCUAUUUUGUUGGUUUCUAGGAUCGACGUAAUGAUUAAUAGGGAUAGUUGGGGGCAUUAGUAUUCAAUUGUCAGAGGUGAAAUUCUUGGAUUUAUUGAAGACUAACUACUGCGAAAGCAUUUGCCAAGGAUGUUUUCAUUAAUCAAGAACGAAAGUUAGGGGAUCGAAGACGAUCAGAUACCGUCGUAGUCUUAACCAUAAACUAUGCCGACUAGGGAUCGGAUGAUGUUAAUUUUUUAAUGACUCAUUCGGCGCCUUACG